AGAGGGCUUGACACAUACUUUACAUCCUGCAUUUACUCUGACCACAGUCCCUCCCUGUUCUCACAAGCGGAGCUCAGCCCUGCUUCCCUUCCUGUUGAUUCCCGGUCAGCUACAUGACUGCCUGAAGUUACAUUGUAGAUGCUGAAAUCACUGCACCUUAAAAACAAAAAGAUUAAGCUGCACUGCAUUCCUCAGUGGUUGGCAGUUUUCCUCAACUUUGCAAGAAAGAGAGAGAUUUGGUUGGAAUGAAACCUUGCUCUCCGUACAGCCUGCUUGAGAUGCAGCAUUGAAAGAUCACUCACGAUCAGUUUGUGGCCUUCCUCUGAAGGAGCCUUUCCUGUCUCUUGUGUAAGUAUUUAUACCAAACAUUUUAUACUUUUCAUUGAUAUGAGUUGUGCAUUUUGUUCAAGUU